rnacentral:lncRNA from 1 species
GCGGCCCCUCAGGGCGGGCCGGCCGCGGCUCGGGGUGAGGAAUGGAGCUUUGAGAACAUAAAAUCCGCUGUCAGUGCCCUCCUUCCCUUGUGGACCCUAAGCCACCCUCAAACGCUUCCAAGAGUUGUCACUCCACCGCUUAGCUGGUGCACAUAAUGAUCUUGCUCCUGACACAGAUCUUUUGCCACACAGGAAGCCUGUGAGGAAGAAGUUAAAACUAGAAGGAAAAGAAAAGGACAGCAGUGUUUCCCACAUUCUUGAGAAGCAGAUUGAAGAAAACAUGGAAUUUCCUGUGGUGGUGUCCUCUUCACACCAGUGAUACCUUCCAGUUCAAUGGGAACCUGCAGCAGAAAGAAGAUCCCAAAUACAGGAACUCAGCAUGUCCCGUCAGGAGCAGAAUAAUACCACAGAAACCAUGGCCAGCCAGAGUCCUGAAUGCUGAGAACUGUGAUUAACUCCUCAGGAAUCUCUCUGGAGCAAGUCAUAUUUUCUGGGCUUUUUUAGGUAAUUAUUUCAAACCUUGAAUCUGUGAAUGGAGAUUGUAA